GAUUUCUGGCUUGAAACACUAAGCCGGCCACGGUUUCGUGUGUUAGUGCUUGGUGUUCUGGCCAUCCUUCCAAUCGCUGCGUACUUCUCUUCAUUGAUUAGUGCGUAGUAUUGGAUCUUUUACUUUGAAAAAAUUAGAGUGUUUCAAGCAGGCAUGUUUUGCUAUGAAUACAUUAGCAUGGAAUAAUAAUCUAGGACUUUCGGUUCUAUUUUGUUGGUGUUCUGGAGCUGAAGUAAUGAUUGAUAGGGAUAGUUGGGGGUGCUAGUAUUCAAUGGCCAGAGGUGAAAUUCUCGGAUUCCUUGAAGACUAACUUAUGCGAAAGCAUU
rnacentral:rRNA from 1 species